ACGGCUCAGUAACACGUGGAUAACCUGCCCUAAGGAAGGGGAUAACCUCGGGAAACUGAGGAUAAUACCCUAUAGGUUACAGACGCUGGAAUGCCCUGUAACCGAAAGUUCCGGCGCCUUAGGAUGGAUCUGCGGCCGAUUAGGUUGUUGUUGGGGUAACGGCCCAACAAGCCGAUAAUCGGUACGGGUUGUGGGAGCAAGAGCCCGGAGUUGGAUUCUGAGACAUGAAUCCAGGCCCUACGGGGCGCAGCAGGCGCGAAAACUUUACAAUGCGGGAAACCGUGAUAAGGGAACCCCGAGUGCCUGUAUAUGCAGGCUGUCCAGGUGUCUAAAAAACACCUGAAGAAAGGGCCGGGCAAGACCGGUGCCAGCCGCCGCGGUAAUACCGGCGGCUCGAGUGGUGGCCACUUUUAUUGGGCUUAAAGCGUUCGUAGCUGGGUUGUUAAGUCUCUUGGGAAAUCUGACGGCUCAACCGUCAGGCGUCCAAGGGAUACUGGCAAUCUUGGAACCGGGAGAGGUGAGGGGUACUUCGGGGGUAGGAGUGAAACCCUGUAAUCCUCGAGGGACCACCUGUGGCGAAGGCGCCUCACCAGAACGGCUUCGACAGUGAGGGACGAAAGCUGGGGGAGCAAACCGGAUUAGAUACCCGGGUAGUCCCAGCCGUAAACGAUGCGCGUUAGGUGUAUCGGUGACCACGAGUCACCGAGGUGCCGAAGGGAAACCGUGAAACGUGCCGCCUGGGAAGUACGGUCGCAAGGCUGAAACUUAAAGGAAUUGGCGGGGGAGCAC
rnacentral:rRNA from 1 species